UUUUCCAAUUAUGGGAAAAAUAAAAAGUGGCAGAAAUGUGGGGUGAUAAAAUUGGGGGGGGAAAAUAAAGUG